CGCGGCCUAUCAGCUUGUUGGUGGGGUAACGGCCUACCAAGGCGAUUACGGGUAGCCGGCCUGAGAGGGCGACCGGCCACACUGGGACUGAGACACGGCCCAGACUCCUGCGGGAGGCAGCAGUGGGGAAUAUUGCGCAAUGGGCGAAAGCCUGACGCAGCGACGCCGCGUGGGGGGUGACGGCCUUCGGGUUGUAAACCUCUUUUACCACCAACGCAGGCUCCGGGUUUUCUCGGGGUUGACGGUAGGUGGGGAAUAAGGACCGGCUAACUACGUGCCAGCAGCCGCGGUAAUACGUAGGGUCCGAGCGUUGUCCGGAAUUAUUGGGCGUAAAGAGCUCGUAGGCGGCGUGUCGCGUCUGCUGUGAAAGACCGGGGCUUAACUCCGGUUCUGCAGUGGAUACGGGCAUGCUAGAGGUAGGUAGGGGAGACUGGAAUUCCUGGUGUAGCGGUGAAAUGCGCAGAUAUCAGGAGGAACACCGGUGGCGAAGGCGGGUCUCUGGGCCUUACCUGACGCUGAGGAGCGAAAGCAUGGGGAGCGAACAGGAUUAGAUACCCUGGUAGUCCAUGCCGUAAACGUUGGGCGCUAGGUGUGGGGACUUUCCACGGUUUCCGCGCCGUAGCUAACGCAUUAAGCGCCCGCCUGGGGAGUACGGA
rnacentral:rRNA from 1 species